UACAGAGGUCCCAAGCGUUGUUCGGAUUCAUUGGGCGUAAAGGGUGCGUAGGCGGUGCCGCAAGUCAGAUGUGAAAUCUCGGGGCUUAACCCCGAAACUGCAUUUGAUACUGCGGUGCUUGAGGACUGGAGAGGAGACUGGAAUUCACGGUGUAGCAGUGAAAUGCGUAGAUAUCGUGAGGAAGGCCAGUGGCGAAGGCGAGUCUCUGGACAGUACCUGACGCUGAGGCACGAAGGCCAGGGGAGCAAACGGG
rnacentral:rRNA from 1 species